rnacentral:rRNA from 1 species
UUAGCCUACGGGAGGCAGCAGUCGGGAAUAUUGCACAAUGGAGGGAACUCUGACCCAGCAACGCCGCGUGAAGGAAGAAGGCUUUCGGGUUGUAAACUUCUUUUGACAGGGAAGAGUAGAAGACGGUACCUGUCGAAUAAGCCACGGCUAACUACGCGCCAGCAGCCGCGGUAAUACGUAGGUGGCAAGCGUUGUCCGGAUUUACUGGGUGUAAAGGGCGUGUAGCCGGGUUGACAAGUCAGAUGUGAAAUCCUGCGGCUUAACCGCAGAACUGCAUUUGAAACUGUUGAUCUUGAGUACUGGAG